GGUUAAGCGACUAAGCGUACACGGUGGAUGCCCUGGCAGUCAGAGGCGAUGAAGGACGUGCUAAUCUGCGAUAAGCGCCGGUAAGGUGAUAUGAACCGUUAUAACCGGCGAUACCCGAAUGGGGAAACCCAGUGUGAUUCGUCACACUAUCAUUAACUGAAUCCAUAGGUUAAUGAGGCGAACCGGGGGAACUGAAACAUCUAAGUACCCCGAGGAAAAGAAAUCAACCGAGAUUCCCCCAGUAGCGGCGAGCGAACGGGGAGGAGCCCAGAGCCUGAAUCAGCAUGUGUGUUAGUGGAAGCGUCUGGAAAGGUGCGCGAUACAGGGUGACAGCCCCGUACACAAAAGCGCAUGUGCUGUGAGCUCGAUGAGUAGGGCGGGACACGUGGUAUCCUGUCUGAAUAUGGGGGGACCAUCCUCCAAGGCUAAAUACUCCUGACUGACCGAUAGUGAACCAGUACCGUGAGGGAAAGGCGAAAAGAACCCCGGCGAGGGGAGUGAAAAAGAACCUGAAACCGUGUACGUACAAGCAGUGGGAGCACAGGUUUACCUGUGUGACUGCGUACCUUUUGUAUAAUGGGUCAGCGACUUAUAUUCUGUAGCAAGGUUAACCGUAUAGGGGAGCCGUAGGGAAACCGAGUCUUAACCGGGCGUUAAGUUGCAGGGUAUAGACCCGAAACCCGGUGAUCUAGCCAUGGGCAGGUUGAAGGUUGGGUAACACUAACUGGAGGACCGAACCGACUAAUGUUGAAAAAUUAGCGGAUGACCUGUGGCU
rnacentral:rRNA from 1 species